AUAUGUUUAAGUUGUAGAAAAUGUUUUUGCUAUAGUGUAAAAGGAUCACUAUAGGGUCAGGAACACAAACAUGUAUUCCUAAACCCUAUAGUGUAAUACCCACCAUUUAGGUGGCUUGCCCCCUUAAAAGGAGUUAACUCACCUUAUUUCCAGGGCUGUGCAUGUCUGCCGGCACUGGCCCCACCCCCUUGGUGACAUCAUCUGAAUUGCCGAUUUUUAGCCAAUCUAAUGUUUUCCCAUGGGGAAAGCAUUGGAUUGGAUAAAAUCUGCAAGGGCGGGGCCAAACACAGUUUUGGCCAAUCAGCACCUCAUCGAAAUGCAUUGAAUCAGUGUUUGCAUAAAAAUGCUUGCAUAUAAUAAUUAUACUCUCCAGAACAACUACAUUAAGCUGUAGUUGUUCUGGUGACUAUAGUGUCCCUUUAAGCGUAAAUGUAAAGCAGAACUUGCAGCUCUUUGUAUUAUUAAUGGGAACCUAUAGUCCUGUAAAUAAGUUGUUUUUUCUGGACUAUAAGUUCCCUUAUGUUGCUGUGAUAUCUCUCCACCCCCAUUAUAGUGUUUUAAAAGAUUACUUGCCUAUUUUCCAGGGCUAAAACUCAUUGGCUGCAGCCAUUCACUCUGCCUCAAUCUUCGUCAGCAUGGCUGCUGAUUUUCCUCGAUUCGUCCAAUCUCAGCGACUAUAUCAGUGCACAGUAAAUUUCCACGCUCCUCCAAUCAAAUGCUACUUUGAGCAAUAUUUAAUUGGAGAACAGAGUUUGACACUGUUCUGGAGUCAGCAGUACUUUGUGUGGCUGUCAGGCAGAGACGGCUACUAGAGGUGUACUUAACAUUUUAAAUAUAAACAUUCGAAUUUCAACAAAACGGCAAUGUUAUACAUUGAUGGGUUGAAACGACAGGACCACUGCAUCCACUGCUUCCAGACCACUUCAUUCAGAUGAAGUAGUGGGCACCUUUAGUGGUCCCUAAAAGCUUAAAUAUUUUACAAUUUUAAAUUUAUUAUAUGAAUUCUGAUAGUUCCUUUUCAUUUAGCUGAGAUCGUUUUUACUUCUGAAGCUACAUAAUAUAGCAAACUUUAAAUGUUGGUGAAGCUUUUAGUUUAUGGUUUGUUUUUUAAACUUAAAAUAGUGUUUUUUUUGUAAGAACAUUUAAUAUGAACUUGCAUGACUUAUAUUCACAGAUUAGUUUUCUAUUUCAGAUUGUUGAUAUAAGUGGCUGUAUAGCUACAGUUUUCUUUCUUUUUUUUUUUUUCUUAUAAAAUUGGACACUCCUAAAACUAGCAGAUUGUGCCUGCUGAUAUUGCGUGAGUUAAACUUAAAUUUGUUUUGCCUGCCUUAUACGAAGUACCGGUCAUAAUACAAUUUUGAAAAUUUGUAUUGGGCAAAAAACCCAAUGAAAUUAUUUUUGUGUAAUCGGUAAUAAUCGAAGGCUUUUCUGGGUAUUUUAGUGGUGCACCCCAGGAACUGAAAAAGUUAGUCCGUCUAGGAAACAUAACCACUACAGAACACUGUAGUGGUUACAGUGCCAGAUGUCUCUUGGCUCCCAUACAAUGGCAAGUAGUUACAUCAUUAUUGAAGGGCUUAAUGUGUCCCUGGAUCCCCCAUGUGCCCCCUUCCUUUGAUGUUUCUAAAAGUAAAGUUUCCCCUCUGCAUUAGAUGUAUACUUUUCAUCCAUAUUUGGAUGUAAUUCAUUGCCAGAGAACACCAGUUAACAAUAUUGUUAAUAAAUUCUGCCUAAGCACAAGCAAAAAUGAUUUUCCUAAUAAGUAUUCCUAAUUCCUAAUAAGUAUCAAAACUGUGAAAGCUGUUUGGCUAUUAUGCUGUGGAUUGGGUUUUGACACCAUAAUCACUACAGAAUGCUGUUAAGGUUAUUGUGCUUAUACAAUCCCAUUUGAGCAUUCUUUAUUUUUGAUCUUGGUUUCUAUGUAAUAUUAUUGGUCCCUUUUUUGCAUGUUUAGCAUUUAAAACAGAUCAUACACAAAAGGUCUGGGCAGUAAGUUCACCUUAAAUAUUGUUGAGAAAAGGUUAGUAACUAGCUUGACAGAGAUAAUAAACGAAGUGUUGCUUGUGUUGUGUGGUAGCAGCAGUCCAUGGACACCAUAAGUGUAAUAUUUGCUGCCAUGAAAAUAGCACAGCAUUAAAAACUAUGCAUCUGCUGGCAAUUUUGCUUUGAAUUUUUAUUCUUUAUUAUGUGACACCAAAUAGUAUCUGAUGUACAUUUCAGGAGGAGCUCUACACUGACAGUUAUUUGGUUUGGAGGAUGUAUUGUCUAUAACAGUUGCCUGAUUACAGUGCAGCAAAUCAGUUCUUCAAUGGCUAAAAUGGACAGGUUUCAAGAAAAUCUGUGGCUAUUGGGGUCAACUUGUUAGCCAAUUUCACAAAAUGAUUGCCAAGUUACUAUUUUGAUGUUGUAUUUUUAAAGCUCACAUCGUAGGGUCAUUGAUCCAUUAUUGGUUCUUUGUGGGUGUCAAACCAGAUGUUUGGAUUCUGACACAUAAACCUAUUUUACAGUGACUGGUUUGAGGAUACGCAUGUGUCACUUUCAGUGUUAGUGAUUUUAUACUGCACAAUACAAUUUGCGGUUUCUUUUCUGGUAGGUUGUAUUAAACCAAGUGAGAUGCGGAAACUUUGUUUUUUAACAUGGUCAUUUAAAAAAAAUAAAAAAUAAAAGCAGAACAUUGAUACAGCUUUAUAUCUAUCUGCAUAUUGUGUCAAUACAAAGAGAACACAAGUAUAGCUUCUGAAUACAUUGCUUUGCAAAAUAUUGUGCUACAUUUACCCUUAGAUUUUUGGGAGCACUUACUAAAUAAUGACCAAAGAUACUGUGGUGGAUGCAGGUGAAAGAUCCAUAAACCAAAUUUCUUUAAAAAGAAUUUUCUUUGUUUAUUUGAUCAAUAUAUAUAUAUAUAUAUUCCUUGUUAUUGAUUGGUGCUAAAAAAUAACCUAUCCUGGGCUGUUUGUUUUAUAUAAAUCUUAUAUUGUUGAAUACUCUGCUUCUAUCUAAUGGCAAGUGUGUGGCCCUCAUGGCAACUUCAUGGGUGUUAAAGGGACACUAUAAGCAUCCAGGCCACUUUGAAGUGGUAAGGGUGUGGUGUCCCUGUCCUAUUAGCCAGGCAAUGUAAAACAUUGCCAGGUUAAGAAUGUCUCUUGUAUCUGUCUCCCAUACAGUCACUAAAGGCACUUUUUGGAAACUCUGUGAAACUACACUGGACAUCCUCACGAUUUGCAUGAGGACAUUCAACGACUUUAAAUCCCCCAGAGGAAAGCAUUAAUAGAAAUGCUUUUCUAUGUGGAUGGUCUAGUGAACGUGCGGCACUUGCCACACAUGUGCAUUAUGUUACCCCCAUUACGUUGCUGGAGAGAGGUAGGUGUUGAAACAGUUUAAACACUUACCUAUUUUUAACACGGGGGUGCAGACAAUAACUUUAGGGCAGAGGGGCACUAUAACGUUAAACAUACUGUUUUAUAUUCCUAAUGCUAUAUUCCUUUAAAGUAAUACAACACUUGCUCCCCCGGAGUCACACCUUCUUACCACCCUCCAUCCAAUUAUAUCGCCCCUGCUUGGGCUAGUUUGUCUAAUGAUGCAGACAUGCUUUGAUUGACAUCAUUCUGUUCCUGUACACCUUUAGUGAACGAUCUGUGGCAGAGAACAGCAGAACACCCUCUCUUGCUUUCCCUGACACUCUGUUGUUUGUAUAGGGGUCUGCACUGAAUCUUAAAAAUUGAUUGACCGUUUUGUUAGGGACAAUGUUAUGGAUUAUUUUAUUAUUUUUUUUAGUACCAUGUUUCAUUUCCUAGUACCAUGUUUGUUUCCUCCGUUAUAAUUCAAACUGAUAUAUAUACUAAUGCGUGUGUGUGUGUGUGUGUGUAUAUAUAUAUAUAUAUAUAUAUAUAUAUUAUAUACACACACACUAUGACAGGCAGACUUUAAAGCAGGGGUACCCAAAAGGUAGAUCCCCAGAUCUUGUAGAACUACAACUCCCAUAAUGAUUUGCAUGUCUUUAGACUGACCAAGCAUCAUGGAAGUGUGUGGGUUUUUUUUUGUUUUUUUUUUUUAUAUAUUUUUCACAGCAGUUUGAGAAGGAACAAGCAUGUUAACAUUGACAUAUAAUAGCUAUGAAACCAGAUGUCUAGAAAAAGAAUAUCUAAAAAAUGUAUUAUAAACAUGUAGAAGGUUCAAGAUAAAUGUAGAUACAUUUCUAUUUGAUAAAUAUUAACUAUUACAUUUUGAACAAAGUUACUAUCACUUUUACAAUAUAUUGGUGUAAUGCUGUUUUCUUAUUUCUUUAAAGUCUGUUUUACGCUUGAUUUGUGCCCAUUGAACAUGUUCCAUAGUUGCAUGUGUUAUUUGUAAGGAAAAAUACAAUUUGACGAAUUUCAAUACAUAAUUUGUAUGGAUAAAAAUUGUAUUUUCAGAAUUACAUUUUAUUUUUCCACAUACAAAUUAAGGAAAUAUGUCUUGUCAGCCUGACCUUGUAAUUAUUGCACACAUGUACAUGUGUUUCCAUUUUUAUGUUGGCAAAUCUAUUUUUUUAAGAAAAUUAGAAAUAAAAGUUUGAGUGUC